rnacentral:rRNA from 1 species
UAAUACGAAGGGGGCUAGCGUUGCUCGGAAUCACUGGGCGUAAAGGGCGCGUAGGCGGCCAUUCAAGUCGGAGGUGAAAGCCCAGGGCUCAACCCUGGAAUUGCCUUCGAUACUGUUUGGCUAGAGACCGGAAGAGGUAAGUGGAACUGCGAGUGUAGAGGUGAAAUUCGUAGAUAUUCGCAAGAACACCAGUGGCGAAGGCGGCUUACUGGUCCGGUUCUGACGCUGAGGCGCGAAAGCGUGGGGAGCAAACAGGAUUAGAUACCCUGGUAGUCCACGCCGUAAACGAUGGAUGCUAGCCGUUGGCGAGCUUGCUCGUCAGUGGCGCAGCUAACGCUUUAAGCAUCCCGCCUGGGGAGUACGGUCGCAAGAUUA